CAGUAGCCGCGGUAAUACGUAGGUGGCAAGCGUUGUCCGGAUUUAUUGGGCGUAAAGCGAGCGCAGGCGGUCAAUUAAGUCUGAUGUGAAAGCCCCCGGCUCAACCGGGGAGGGUCAUUGGAAACUGGUUGACUUGAGUGCAGAAGAGGAGAGUGGAAUUCCAUGUGUAGCGGUGAAAUGCGUAGAUAUAUGGAGGAACACCAGUGGCGAAGGCGACUCUCUGGUCUGUAACUGACGCUGAGGCUCGAAAGCGUGGGUAGCAAACAGGAUUAGAUACCCCGGUAGUCCCUGUCUCUUAUAC
rnacentral:rRNA from 1 species